rnacentral:snRNA from 1 species
UAUUGGGUAUCUCAUUGAAAGAC